UUGGUGUCUUGGGGAAGCAAGACUUUAAGCAUCUUUUGAAGUAAGUUGUUAUGUUUUUUUCUUUUUUGCCCUCUAAUGCUUUUUGGUUUGUUUAAUGAUAUGCAUAUUUUAAUUUUUUUUUGCCUGUACUGAAGGUGGAGAAUACAUAUAAGAAAAGCCUUGAUAGGAUCAGAGAAGACUGAAGUUGCAAAUGUUAAAAAUGAAGAAAAGGAGGAUGAAGAUGAUAGAGUAGUCAGAGAAAUGGAGGAGUUGACUCAUGUGUUGGAGUGUAAGAAGAAACGUGUGAAAAAGCUUCAUGCGAAAAGGCAAGCUAAGGAGAAAUUGCGUAAGGAAAUGGCUAUGCAAAUGGAUGGAGUGGAUGAUAGUUAUGUUGACCGCGAAUUGUUUUCCCUGUCUACCACCAAGGUUCGCUUUAAAUCAAAUUUCUUGUUCCUCUAAGAACAUAUAUACAUUCAUUCAUUAUUAUUAGGCCUAAAUUGAAUUCAUUUGCUUAA